rnacentral:snRNA from 1 species
GUACUUACCUGGCAUGGGAGACACCUUGAUUACGAAAGAGGCGAGACCAUUGCACUCUGGCCAUGCUGACCCCGGUGAAUUCCCCCAAAUGUGGGAAUCUUUGACUGCAUCAUUUCCGGUAACGGGAAACUGCGUCCACACUCUACACU